AAACAGUAACGUCCUACAGAAGCAGGGGUAAUAAGUCUCCUCCCUGGAGGUCACUCCACGAGGUAGGCUAUGGGCACCUGCCAGGUGCUGGAGAAAUCUCUGCUAACCCAGACUUCCGGCCGCCUUGAUGUUCUCUCCCUGCGUCUUGAUGUCCCUCCCAUCCUGCAUUCCGCUUCCUCAAGGAUAAAGGUGUUCUUUGCACACCUUUCCUCAGGCCAAGGCUUUUCAGUUUCCUCUGCACUGGCCUUUGUUACCAAGUCCGGUCUCCUCCCUGGAGAGCAGCUUCCUGUUUGUGCUCUUCCUGCCAAGGAGCUCCAUCAGUCAGCUGCCUGGGCCCCCCUUCCUGGCCCAGCCCCUUCUUACUGUGUGGUCUUAAAGCAGGUCACUUCACCUCUCCCUAUCUUUCUCUGCAAAACCCAGAUAAUACUACUUCCAGAAGAAAGAAAGGGUUUUCUUUAAGCCCUUUGAGCUUCAGAUGGAGGCGCACAGCCCUGCCCGGGGCCGGGCCGGCCACCAUGUGAUUAGGUAAUGUGAGACGCGGCUCAUUAUGCUUUGUCUGCAAUGAAUGCAGCCCGGCCACAAAGCGCUGGAACUUUCGGUUACAUUGAAACCCCCACGGUGGAGGGACCUGUAUCCCCAGACCAGCAUCCCCAGAAGCUUCCUCUGCAAGACACAGAAGACUCCCGGGCAGUCCGGCCUUGCUGGGCAGGGCGGGAGCUAUGCCUGUGCAGAGGUGAGGAGACGUCAAUGGCUACCAUACAUUGACCUCCUACUACGUGCCAAGAAUUAUGCUAGGUAUGUUUUUCCAUCCCAAACCCUCAAGAUAACUGUAUUAAACCCUAGCUACGUUCUGAGAACAAAAGGAAACAAAAACACCCGCUAAUCUUUAUACAUUUUUCACCGUAAUGAAAGCCUAUCCAUUUGGGCCCCGUAGAUCUGAGCCCAGAAUUUUGGCCUGAGGCCUCCUCCCUGAUCCUCAGGCUUUAAGACCACACAGCAUGGGUCAGCAAACCACAAAGGGAAGACUUACUUUUCUCACCCUGACCCAGACCUCUGAAGCCUUCCUGAUGACGCCUUGGGCAGGGCUCACUCAGCUUGACAAACUUUUACCCGGAACCCUCUGAUCCCAUUUUGAUGAAUGAAGUCAAAACCCCAGUGGGUUCGCUCAUCUGGCUGCUAUAGCACAGCCAGUCAAAGAUCUCAGUACCCAUCUGGAUACUUCAUUAGGGUCCUAAGACAUCUGGGGACCAGCGAUGGAAGAAACGUGCUUGUGUCGGGCAUCAUACGCCCGCACUGUGCUGAGCCCUUUCCAAUAUGGUAUCUCGGAUAGUCCCCCACCAAAAAAAAAAAAAAAAGAAAAGAAAGAAAGAAAGAAAGAAAGAAAGAAAGAAAGAAAAGAAAACCUGCCAGAGUGGAAUUAUCAUUUCCAUUUUAUGAGUGAGGAAACAGGCUCAGAGAGGCUGAGUGACCUACCCAAGGUCACACAGGUGGGAAAUAGCAGUUCCUGAGUUUGAACCAAGAUGAUGACAUUGUCAAGGGGCAGUUUGGGAGGUUUUCAUUGCGGCCGCAUCUCCGGCAGCAACGUCCUUCCCCAUGACAUCCCCCUCCCCCAAAUAAAUACACAGUCUGAGUAAGAAGAAUAUGCAGGGACACGAUGACACUUUCGGGGUUCCCUUGCCUCCUCCCUUUCACAGAGAUGGCUGCCCCAAGCCCCUCUGCACAGACACCCUGGAGUCCCCACUAAAUCAAGAUCUGUCUGACUCUGAAGGACAGGUCCUCCCAAUACAACCAGAUGUCAGUUCUCUUCGAUUCCUACCAAGAAGACCUUUGCUUUCUUAAACCCUUUACGUAGAAGAGCCAGUCAGUCAGUGUAGGAUUCCCCUAACGGAGACCCGAACCACAGAUUCCAGAAUUUCACCAGCCUACCCAAGGUCACCAGCCCAUUAAAUGCCCCACACUUCUCAGGGAACAGUGAUGCAUCGGCAUCCUGGCGGGGAGCACGGGCGUGAAGAAGCACAGCAUUAGUGAUGUAGAUUAGAGUUUCAAUUUAUGUUGAAGCAUCUGCUGGCCAAGGUCCAGUUCAUUUUGGGUUCCAGCUAAAUUUAUUCGGCCUCAGGCGCCUGGGUGGCUCAGUCGGUUGAGCGUCUGACUUCAGCUCUGGUCGUGAUCUCCACAGUCCGUGGGUUCCAACCCCGCAUCGGGCUCUGCUGACAGCUCGGAGCAUGGAGCCUGCUUUAGA